rnacentral:lncRNA from 1 species
CAAAUCAAAACUUCACCUUAAAAUCAAAACAAAAUAGAAUCCCAAGUUUCAAAUCAAAACUCUGUCCGUCGAGGCCUAAAGUUCUCACUUUUUCUUGAUUUAUUGUCUCUUCGUCUCCACUACCACUUAAAGUCCAAUUCGGUAAUCUCUUAUCACUAUUCAUCAAUUGUUAGCCAUCGACUAAUUACAAUUCUAAUAGAUGGGGCUAUUCUCAUUGCCAAG